rnacentral:rRNA from 1 species
CCUACGGGUGGCAGCAGUGAGGAAUAUUGGUCAAUGGCCGGAAGGCUGAACCAGCCAUGCCGCGUGAAGGUCAGUGCCCUAUGGGCGUUAAACUUCUUUUGUGCGGGAGCAAUACUGGUCACGUGUGGACAGACGAGAGUACCGUACGAAUAAGCAUCGGCUAAAUACGUGCCAGCAGCCGCGGUAAUACGGGGGAUGCAAGCGUUCUCCGGGUUUGUUGGGUUUAAAGGGUGCGUAGGCUGUGAGGUAAGUCAGCGGUGAAAUGCCCCCGCUCAACGGGGGGAAGUGCCAUUGAGACUUUCUUGCUAGAAUGCGGAUGCCGUGGGAGGAAUGUGUGGUGUAGCGGUGAAAUGCAUAGAUAUCACACAGAACACCGAUUGCGAAGGCAUCUCACGAAUCCGCGAUUGACGCUGAUGCACGAAAGCGUGGGUAUCAAACAGGAUUAGAUACCCUUGUAGUC